GAAGCCAAGGCUGUAGUUACACACUCUCUCUCAUAACGGCUUGGGAAGGGCAAAGGUGGAGGUCUUCAGGCAAUAGGGUGGCCGCUCAGGAUUCCUUCUCCUCCAUGGUGUUAGUGACAAGAUCCCAAGGCCCUAGGCAACUUCUUCAUCUUCAAUUCUUCAUGCCAUUUUUUCUGCAGUCCGGUUCAGGUCCUACAUGGUGAUGCUUUGUAUGGAGUCAUACAAUUUCAGAAUUGCAGACAAACAACUAUUGAUUAGAGAUUCAUGCAUACAAGCAAGGUAUGAAACAACAAGUGCUGCUAGGAUCUCAGCUUCCGCAUGC